rnacentral:lncRNA from 1 species
UUCUCCAUCAUUUCCACCUAACCCUAGCAGCCCACUCUUUCGUCUCUCUCUCUCUCUUAUUGUUCGUCCCUUCCCUCUGAAUCUAGGGUUUUCGUCGUUCAAUCGCCGUUCAAUCGGUCGUUCCCCAUCUGAAUGUAGGGUUCUCACCCACGAUUCGCCGUUGAAUCGCCGUUCAAUCGGCCCGUCGCCUCUCUGUAUCUAGAGUUCACAGCUGCCGCAAUGAUGAGCAAUCCUUUCUCCGACGCUCCUGCUUCACCGGAGCCCGUCGCCUCUCUGAGCGGCGUCUUGCGGCACGCACCUUCCCCGUCGAGUCUCAGAUUGAAGGCUCCCCGUCCGUUUUCAUCCCGCGCUCCACUGACUUCCGGCUUCACCGGAGCCCGUCGCCUCUAUGAGCGGCGUUCUAUUGCCGCCAGCAACCCCCACCGUCUAGUCUCCAUCGAUUGGCGGAGAUUGUAUGUCGAAUGGCCAUAUCUUGAGGAAGAUAGUCAGAUCGAGGGCUCCCUCGUCUGUUUUCAUCCCGCCGCCUCCACUGACUCUCCGGCCUCUCUAGAAUCUUCGCCGCCUUCGUUGACCUAUCCAUCUCCGCCUGAUUCGACGGAAACCGAUGGGGAUCUCUCUGGGCUUAUUGUGGCCAACACACUGUCACCGUGGUUCAUUUGAGAGUACGGCGCAGAUUCACUAGACGAUGUGGACUUCGGUUGCUAGUGGCAAGUCCCGGAAACGGAGCAGCAACCUAUUUCAGGUGAGAAGUUUCCUUUUAGGGUUUGUUCUCUGUAUUUUUUAUGUGCUUACAGUGGGGAUUGAAGCAUGCAUUGUUGGUUGUUGGUAUAAAUCGUGCUGAAAUGAUGAUCUAUCUGUGCCAAAAUUUCUGUGAUGAAAAACUUUUAAUGUCUAUUUUCUGAGAAAAUUUUUGAAACUUGUCUUCUGGUUUUUGAUUGCAUUAUGUUGUUGUAUCAGGCUGUUUUAUGCCGCCUGGUGCCAUCAUUUGUGUUGUUGUAUCGGGCUGUUUUAUGCAGCCUGGUGCCUUCAUAUGUUGUUGUAUCUGGUGUGAAGGUUUGAAGCCGCCUCGUGCCUUCAUUGUUGUUGAUUUGUCUUGUGUUUGAACAAGUUAGGCUGCAUAUAUGGCUUCACAAUGCAUAAAUGGCUUUUCAUUCAUUCAAAAUAGACAAAAUAUUUCCUUUACUAAAUGAUUUCCUGGAUUGCACACUAAAACAUGUCACUUUUCCAUCUAGGCAAUUAUUUUUUUACAAAAUCAAACCACUAGCCCUAUAUUCCUAACUGUUGUAAUUCAUGUAGUAAGCCUUACUGUGGAAAAGGAUAACCAAGUUCUCCACAAGCUCUGUCACCAAAUCCAUUUGUGCAUUUUUAUUCAUGUAGCCAAUGCACUCUUCCACCAAUUUCAUAGGCACUUCCAAGUCCCUUAGCAGCUGGUUUGCUCUCAUUAGUGCAUUUUUUCUCAUAUGUGGGAUCUUGUAUGCAUUAUUAUCUCUUUGUUUCAUUAUCUCCACCAUACAUGGCUGCAAAUUUAGAAACACUUUGUUUAAUGUAUGAGGAGAUAAUUGAGCGUAAGAUUCCUCAACUGCCUUGACAAGAUCGUCACAGUUGUAACACGCCGAUUCAGUUUGAAUGCUCUAAAUAGCUCUAAACCAUCCCAAGUCGUUCACAUUUGUGUUCGGACUGUUUGGGGCCGGGUUGAUGAACUAUUCUUAUCUCGAAUCCUUGUUGAGUGGCUGCAGCCCUAAAAUCAGGGUCUGAGUCCUGAAUAUGGGGUUUCGCAUUAUCUUGAUGAAUGUAGAUUAGUUUACUUGCAAAUGAAGGCCACUUUGCUAUUAUUGGUGGUACAAUCUAUUUUGAAACCAAAAAAUGAUCUCCCAAUUUAAAAUUCAUUGCAUAUAAGACUAUAUAGCACUUCCACAAUGCAUACAUACUACAGGGCCUUGCCAUUUGUUUAUGAAGCAGUCUUUCAUGACAUCCUUGGUGAUUGACUGAAUUGGCUUGGUUUCUAGUGUGCCCACUGGUAUGUUUUUGUUGUUCAUUUGGACAGGAACUUGUUCCAUAAAUGGGAAGAUUCCAAUCUUCCCAUCAAAUAUGCAUUUCCCCUGUUCUGAAAAUAUUGGCCUAUAAAUGGCACACAUAAACAUCACCUUUUUAUGAAACUCUUACUCUUGCAUGUCCGGUGAGGAUCUCCCCCCAGCCGGUGUUAAAUAAAAUUUAUGUGCAGCCUUUGUGAUGUAGAACCACUUUUCAUCUAUGUGAAUAGUGUUGUUCAUAACCUUAAACUUCAAAGCCAUCAUAAUGUGAUCAAACUCCAAUGCCUCUAAUGAAAAUCGUAGUCGUAGCAACUUGUUUGGGGUUGUGAGAUCAGGCUUAAUAGCACUAGAAUGCGCUCUGAUCGGCCCCUGGUUUACCCACCUCCAAAUUGUUGAUCUUUUGUGUAGCUUUGUGUCGACGCUAACUCUUUUUCUUCUAGCAGCUCUUGGUUUGGCACUUGUAAGAUAAAUUUUCUCACCAUUUUCCUUUGUUUUCUUCAUAGCGGUCCAAAGACGAAUGACAUUACGUUGGGAGGAAUUGAAGAUUGAUGCAGUCUCUUUCAAGGCUCCAUAUCUUGGCUUUCCAUUCUUCAAGUUGGCUAGAAGAAAUUGGACUAUUUUGUUCCUAUCUUGAUUAGAUAGGUUUUUGCUAACCAUUGUUUAGAAGUUUUUUUUUUUGGAACUGUUGUAGUUUGAUAAAUCUACCCACUAUGGGCAGAUUUAUAGUGUAGCUUUUGGUGGGAAAACUGAAAAUAUGUUGAAGUUAUGAAAUGAAAAAAGUUGAAGCCAAAAUUUUGAGUUGUCCGCCUACUGCCUUAAUUUUUUUGGUUGUUUACUCAUUUCACUUGUAUAAUGUCUCCCCACUUUAAAAAAUUAUGCCUUUGAUGUUAAAAUUUUGAAUUGUAAACUGCCACCCAAAUAUUCAUUGAAUUUAAUUAAUUGUCGCCCCUUUUCAAGUAACUACCGCCCAGGUACUGAUUUCAAUUUAGUGAGUAAAAGAAUUAAAAUUGUAAACAUUAAAUUUAAUUUAAUCAGUAAAAUAAAUUAAAAUUAUAAAUAUUGAGAUAGGUGGUUAUAUAGUUGGUUGAGAUUAACACUUUAAUUAAGUUUCACGGUCGCUUUUAAUGGGACCGAGGGAGUACUUUUUAUGAGACGGAUGAAAAUUGAAAAGUAAUACUCCCUUCAUCCACAAAAAAUAUGUGGUGGACUGGAGGGCACAAAUUUUAAUAAAAAAAGUUGGAAGAUGUGAUUUUAGUGUUAAAUGGUAGUAUUGGGUCCACCAAAUUGUAAAAGUAAAAUGUGAGUGUUUCGUAAAUAUUGAGUAUAUUGAGUGUGAAUGAUGUUUAAAGUAUAAAUGAGAUUUCUAAAAAAUGAAAACACACAAUCUUUGUUGACGGAGAGAGUACUUUUUCAUGGGACAAAUAAAAUACUCCCUCCGUCCGCCAAAAGUAUUCCACUUUGGCCGGGCACGGAGUUUAAUAAAAUGUGUGAUGAUGUUGAUGUAGUGGAGAAAGGGUCCCACCACUUUAUGAGAUGUGUGGUUGAGAUUGAAUUUCCAAAGGAAACCAAAAUAGUAGAACCGUUAAGGGAAUAAUUUAGAAAAGAUUUUUUAUUUUUUUUAAUUUGAAGGAGUUGGGGAGGGGAAGCAGUGGGAUUUGAACCCGAGACCUCACUGUUCAACACACAGAAGGUCGCACCGUUUUGNUGUACCUAUUCUGUAACGUAAAAGAGUAUUACUUGAGGAAUGAUACGAUAUUUAAAAAAUAUAUGGUAGAUAAUAUGUUGAUUGUUGAGUGGAGUAAAAGGAUCCACAGGUUUUAAAAAAAAUGAUAAUAUGUCGUAGAUAAUGUGUUGGAUCAUGUUCUAAAAUAAAAGUAAUACUCCCUCCGUCCCAUUAAAAUUGGCCACAUUUCCUUUUUGGUGUAUCCCAUUAUUUCUGGUCACUUUCUAAAAUAAGGAAAAAUUUAACUUAAUUAAGACCACUAAAUUAAGUUACUAACUAAACCCUAAUUUAACCUACUAAAAGUCUAUUUUCUCCAUCAUUUCCACCUAACCCUAGCAGCCCACUCUUUUCGUCUCUCUCUCUCUCUUAUUGUUCGUCCCUUCCCUCUGAAUCUUAGGGGUUUUCGUCGUUCAAUCGCCGUUCAAUACGGUCGUUCCCCAUCUGAAUGUAGGGUUCUCACCCACGAUUCGCCGUUGAAUCGCCGUUCAAUCGGCCCGUCGCCUCUCUGUAUCUAGAGUUCACAGCUGCCGCAAUGAUGAGCAACCCUUUCUCCGACGCUCCUGCUUCACCGGAGCCCGUCGCCUCUCUGAGCGGCGUCUUGCGGCACGCACCUUCCCCGUCGAGUCUCAGA